GAAUCGCACCCAAGGCGGAGAAAGGCCGGUCCCUUUCCUGCUCCUUCGUUUCGUUCCCUCUCAUUUCUUUUCUUCCUAUCCCAUUCCAGUCACCCAGAGGCUGCAAGCACCCAGGCGUAAGUAAGCACAGGACGCGGGGGAGGCAGCGGAAGGGGCGUUCUGCGCUCCUACCCCCAGAAUCUUUGAGCCGCCCUGCAGGUGGGAUUCUGAACAUCUCCCAAACACAUCCUUUAUCUCUGGGAGACGUGUGGAGAUAGAGAUUGGCCUGGGGAAAGCAUUGAGCUCUUAGAUGUGCUUCUUUGCUUUUUGUCAUCACACCUGCUGAUGUCACUGAGCGCACAGCUUGACCAGAAACGUGAGGGGUAGGAAGAGACAUUAGGUGAGCGGCGAGCUGGUGGGACCCUUCCCGGAGGACGAGUGGGGAAGAACGUGGGGAAGUUGCCGGCUCCUACGGCACGCGCCGCCGGUACCCUCGGGCAGCCAAGGGCCCUGGGGCGCCUAGGAGUAAGGCGACCUGUAGUGAAGAGGGCACAGUCUACGGGGACAAACUAAGGUCCCAAACUCCUAGCAGGGACAUGUAUCCCCUUUCCUUAUUUCGACUAGAAAAAGGGUAAUGUAAGGAGUCUAGGUGUGGCGACAACACUUUCCCCACUGAAAACUGUAGGAAUGUGACUGAGCCCUCAAAAUAGUGCCCUUUGGGACUGCGUUCAGGACGGGAAGAGACCUCCAG
rnacentral:lncRNA from 1 species